rnacentral:rRNA from 1 species
AUUGAACGCUGGCGGCAUGCCUUACACAUGCAAGUCGAACGGCAGCACGGGAGCAAUCCUGGGGGCGAGUGGCGAACGGGUGAGUAAUAUAUCGGAACGUGCCCAGUCGUGGGGGAUAACGCAGCGAAAGCUGUGCUAAUACCGCAUACGAUCUAUGGAUGAAAGCGGGGGAUCGCAAGACCUUGCGCGAUUGGAGCGGCCGAUAUCAGAUUAGCUAGUUGGUGGGGUAAAGGCCCACCAAGGCGACGAUCUGUAGCUGGUCUGAGAGGACGACCAGCCACACUGGAACUGAGACACGGUCCAGACUCCUACGGGAGGCAGCAGUGGGGAAUUUUGGACAAUGGGCGCAAGCCUGAUCCAGCAAUGCCGCGUGCAGGAUGAAGGCCUUCGGGUUGUAAACUGCUUUUGUACGGAGCGAAACGGUCUGCCCUAAUACGGUGGGCUAAUGACGGUACCGUAAGAAUAAGCACCGGCUAACUACGUGCCAGCCGCCGCAGUAA